CCUACGGGAGACAGCAGUGAGGAAUAUUGGUCAAUGGACGAGAGUCUGAACCAGCCAAGUAGCGUGAAGGAUGACUGCCCUAUGGGUUGUAAACUUCUUUUAUAAAGGAAUAAAACGAGGCACGUGUGCCUUUUUGCAUGUACUUUAUGAAUAAGGAUCGGCUAACUCCGUGCCAGCAGCCGCGGUAAUACGGAGGAUCCGAGCGUUAUCCGGAUUUAUUGGGUUUAAAGGGAGCGUAGAUGGGUUGUUAAGUCAGUUGUGAAAUUUUGCGGCUCAACCGUAAAAUUGCAAUUGAUACUGGCAGUCUUGAGUACAGUUGAGGUAAGCGGAAUUCGUGGUGUAGCGGUGAAAUGCUUAGAGAUCACGAAGAACCCCGAUUGCGAAGGCAGCUUACUAAACUGUGACUGACAUUGAUGCUCGAAAGUGUGGGUAUCAAACAGGAUUAGAUACCCGUGUAGUC
rnacentral:rRNA from 1 species